rnacentral:rRNA from 1 species
GUCUAUGGCCAUACCACCCUGAACACCCCGAUCUCGUCUGAUCUCUAAAGCUAAGCAGGAUCGGGCCUGGUUAGUACUUGGAUAAUACAUGACUCUGUAAAUUUGAAGUACUAAAAACA